CGUUUACCAGUUGAUAUAAGAGUUAUGGAAAGAUCUUAUUUUCUAUCUAUUGAAGGAGUAGCCCUUGAAAUUUUGACCUUUUAUGAUUACUGCUCAUUUUUAGCAUAAAGCGGUUUAUUUCUAUCCUUAUGAAUCGGACUAUACUAUGCUAUUCACAAUAUUUAUAUUAGGACUCCUUACUUUGUUUGUUGGAUCUGUAAUAAUUUCUUACAAUCAAGAGGGAAUAAACUUGGAUAUAUUAUUGUAAUGGUUUGCUUUAUCUAUAAAUAUUUUGCAUCAUAACUCGAAUGGUUUAAAACGAAUGACACAUAUCUAUACUUGAAAAUAAAUAACUCUUAUUGAGAAGCUUUGAUAGCCACAAAAUAUAUGACUACAAGUUUCAAAAUAUUAUUUUAGUUAAAUGAAUUACCAAUUAAUUCCCCUUCAUUUUCAGUCAAAACAUGUUAUAUUUACAGUAUAGAUAUUUUCUUUCUCUGCUGUUGUAAUACAGGUUCCAUCAUUUGUGCAUUAGUACUGUAUGGUCUUGCACUGAGUUCUUUCCAGUACCACAAAUAUAAGUGAACAAGGAGAUUGAGCUUGUUCGUUUUGUUUUCGGAUCCUGUGUUACAUUUAUGCAGUGUUGGUAUUGAUAAGUUCAAUGAAUUUAACUUUGUAUAUUCUUUUCUGCUAUCUAUAUCUUUUUUCAAAAUGAUUUUGUGCUGAAUCAUGAAGUACUUGCUUUUGGCUAAACUCUUCAAUUCUUGUAAUUGCUGGGAUGAAGUACUUGCUUUUGGCUUAACUCUUUACUUUUUCAAAUUGUUGGGAUGAAGUACUUGCUUUUGGCACCAUUUGUGGGUCAUAGCAUAUACUCAAUACUUCAUGGGAAACGAUGAAAGCCAGAGGGACAUUUCAUACAUAAGCUAAAAAUCAUGGAAAACAGGCUGAUAUUUCUGAAUUUCGAGCUCAGCUUGAUGCAUUGGGCUUAAAGAUUAUUCAAGUGACAUCAGAUAGAAAUUGUUUCUUCAGGAAUGAUCAACGUCAACUAUAACCACUUCGAUGGAACACUUUCUUCAUGUCCAAGAAUUCAACCACAUGUUACUUUAUGUCACAGUCAUCUGCCACAAGCACUUGACGACGAGUACGGAGGAUGGAUGAGUCGAAAGAUGAUGUGUGAUGCAGAGUACUUGUAACUAAGUUCAUGUUUUGCUAUACAUUUGGAUUAAUAUAACAUGAUUGUUCAUUUUUUAUAUUUAGCGAUUACGUCACUGCCUACGCGGAUGUGUGCUUCAAGGAAUUUGAUGAUGGAGUUUUGCAUUGGACUACCUUGAAUGAGGCCAUUGGAUUCGCUAUAAGCGUACACACUCUCCUCCCCCAGACCCCACUUGUGGGAUUGCACUGGAUAGGUAGUUGUUAUCAUCACCGUCUCUCUUUAACACUGCCUACUCAAGUUUCACAAUGCAUAGCCGUUCUGAAGCUAGGAUACAGGAUCAUUGUGGUUGGUUGACCAUCAGUGUAAAAAUAGUCGAGCCAUCAUAAAUCAACUGAAUGCUAUCGGGAAUAAGCUAAUGCAGCAUCUAUAUACGACCGCCAAUUAAUUGGUGAGGUUUAAAAGUACUUCAAGGAGCUCAGAGACAACUGAUGUUAAAUACAUUGAUCCUACUUACAUGAUCUAUGCAUGCCAUGCAAAUGCUUCAUAUGGUAUUCUGUGCACGGUACUUGGGCUAAAUGUUGUUCACGGUGCAUUUGCUGGAUAUAGUGGUAUCACAGUGGAUAUAUGCAACACUCAUUAUGUCUACUUUCCAAUUCCAGAAGUCAUCCUUUUAGAAGGAAAUCAAUGCUGAAAUUGAUCUCCUCGUCGUUGUCCACCUUGACCUAAGUUAUGGCAAUCUGCUAUCUGGAAUUGAAUCACCGCCUUCUACAUUUUCCAUCUGGAAAACCCAGCAUCCUAGUCAUCCGUAUCUUCGUUGAUGCCUCCAUUAAUUUCUUUUGAUAUGGAGAAACAAGUAGUUGGACAAACUCUCCCUGAAAUGGCUAAUUAAUAGAAAUCAAGUUGAGCUAUUUUAACAAUGAGAUGAAUAUUUCAACAGGUUGUAUAUUUAGAGAUGAGAAAGAAAUAUAUUUUGAAGUGCAACAUAUAUGUAUUCUUCGUUAAAACAAGAAUCACGUUGAAUAGAAAAAGAUGAAAAAAGAACUACUUGAAAAAGAAUCUGCAAAAUCAGUCGUCCUAAUUGUUGGUAAUCAAGAUACUAAACCCUCAAUUUAGAUUUUGAAGUUGAUCAUUUCCAUUGUCACAC